rnacentral:rRNA from 1 species
UACAGAGGUCUCAACCGUUGUUCGGAUUCAUUGGGCGUAAAGGGUGCGUAGGCGGUCGUGCAAGUCGGAUGUGAAAUCUCAGGGCUCAACCCUGAAACUGCAUUCGAUACUGCGUGGCUAGAGUGCUGGAGAGGAGACUGGAAUUUACGGUGUAGCAGUGAAAUGCGUAGAUAUCGUAAGGAAGACCAGUGGCGAAGGCGAGUCUCUGGACAGCAACUGACGCUGAGGCACGAAGGCCAGGGGAGCAAACAGG